ensembl:lncRNA
CUAUGUCCGUCCCCCCUCCCUCCCUCCCUCUCUCCCUCUCUCUCUCUCUCUCUCGUUCUGUUUGGUCUCUCGGUCCUGCCUGUCUCCAUUCUCUCCUCAGCACUCUCUGGACUAGCAGUAAGACAGGUAGGUUACUUUAACACACUUAAACCCUCUUCUACAGUCGUGUGUUUGUGUGUGUGUGUGUGUGUGUGCACUCUGGACUAGCAGUAAGACAGGCGUUUAAAGCUGAGUCUAAGAUGGACUGAUGGACUCUGUUCAACUCUUCAAGCGUUUAAAGCUGAGUCUAAGAUGGACUGAUGGACUCUGUUCAA